ACGAACGCUGGCGGCGUGCUUAACCCAUGCCAGUCGAACGGAAAGGCCCUGCUUUUGUGGGGUGCUCGCGUGGCGAACGGGUGAGUAACACGUGAGUAACCUGCCCUUGACUUUGGGAUAACUUCAGGAAACUGGGGCUAAUACCGGAUAGGAGCUCCUGCUGCAUGGUGGGGGUUGGAAAGUUUCGGCGGUUGGGGAUGGACUCGCGGCUUAUCAGCUUGUUGGUGGGGUAGUGGCUUACCAAGGCUUUGACGGGUAGCCGGCCUGAGAGGGUGACCGGCCACAUUGGGACUGAGAUACGGCCCAGACUCCUACGGGAGGCAGCAGCGGGGAAUAUUGCACAAUGGGCGGAAGCCUGAUGCAGCAACGCCGCGUGCGGGAUGACGGCCUUCGGGUUGUAAACCGCUUUCGCCUGUGACGAAGCGUGAGUGACGGUAAUGGGUAAAGAAGCACCGGCUAACUACGUG
rnacentral:rRNA from 1 species